GGAUUUAUCGCCACCGACCCGUCAAACCAUAUCAACUGGGCAAGAACGUCGUAAAGUAACCUUCGUUACACAGGACUUACGAUCAUAAGCGAUCGCCCAGUCUGGAGGGGGAUACUGUGACAACAUCAUACACUACCGACACUAAACGUCAAAAUGCACAACACUACCGACCGGCAACCCUUUCCUACAUUUUUGUAUUUAAAGUCAUGAGCAACCCCAUUUUCCUUCAUCCUGCAAUUCUUCCCUUUUCUCACGGACACCGAGCUGAUCAGACGUGCUAGCAGCAGCAACCAUUAAAUAUAUAUAACGUUUACUUACCAAGCAUAGUCAGCUCUCGAUAAUUGUUCCAUAGCUUUAUCUUUCACUGUCAAGAGAACACCAAAUGAAACACGAUCCCACCAAAAAUCUGUUACUCAAUAAAAAAUGCUCGAAUCUAGUGCCCGAUAGAAAACAAAGAAAUAACCUUGAGUUUUUUUUCUCUCUCAAACGGCAUCUGCUCGGCUGCGAACAAUAAAAGCUGGCCGACUACCAUGGGUGUCCCAACUAGGUUUCAGAUGUCAUCCACGAUUCUACGUUGUUAUUUUUCUUUAAAUUGUCACUGACUAUUAAUAUUUGAAGAAAUAAUUUUUUAGGGUAGGUACCCCAGUACUCGGUUGAUAAAAGACGUCGGUAUAGUUGGUUACUAACAUAAGGGUUAAUGUUGUCUAGUCUGUCUUUUUCUACUUGUACUGGGUUAAUGGUAACUCUUCGUCCGAAAAAGGCUUCUACGGGUUUUUUAUUGAUGGUUGAAUGAAUCGAAUUGUUAUAUUUGUGAAUGGCUCUGAAAAGUAAAUCUUCAAAUGAAUUAUGGGGGUUUUUGCUUUUUAUACAGCGCAUUAUUUCUGUUAAUGUACUGUGAAAUCGUUCUAUUUGUCCAUUACGGUACUAGUGUAGGGGGGUGUUUUGUAUAUCUGAAUUCCAUAUUGGUUUUCUAGCAUGAAUUUUAUUGGGGCUGCACUAAGAGAUUUUUCAUUAUUUAUUGCUAUGUUUACGGGUAUGCAAAACAUUGUGAGGAGUUCCUGCAGGGGUAAUUUUAUAUCUUCUGAAGCUCUGGACUUCCCUAUCUUUGCCUGAGCAUAUUUAGAAAAUUUAUCUAUUGCUGUAAGUAUAACUUUGUUAUUAGUGUGAUACAGAUCAAUGUAAACGAUUUGGCCUGGAUAUUCUGGGAUUGGGGAAGCUUUCAAUAUUGGUUUUGCCGGGUGUCUCUGAUAUUUAUUUUCUCGACAAUUUUACAUUGUUUUUUGAUAUUCUUAAUUUUCGCGUUCAUCUGAGGGAAAUAGUAUUUUUCAAGUAGUUGAAUUUUGUUCUCAAUCGCAUUCCUAUGUGCUCUGUUAUGUUCUAUUAUAAUUUCCGUUUCUUGUUCUGAUUCAUUUGUUAGAUCUUUUACUAUUUUUCGCGUGUAUUUUACUCUAUAUCUGCUAAAGUAGAUAGUAGUGUGAGUAGAUAUUUUGGAUUUUUCCUAAGAUGUUGUCUUCCGUUUUUAUUGCAUUGGUGACUUGAUCAAUCUCUGGAGGGUCUCUUUGGUGGUGAAUCGCAGAGUUGUUUUGUGUUAUAAAGCCGGAGGGUCCCCCUUAAAGUCUAUGCUUACAGUAAGAUCAUCCCGCGGCGGAGUGGAUCAUCCUGUUUGUUUUCCACUACUAAGGUCCACUCUUUUUUCGCACUCUUUGCGGUUAGUGCGUUCUGCUGUCACAGGAAACUGCACUGUUGCUGCUACUUGAGGAGCUGUUGUUGUCACCGUUGUUGCUGCUACUUGAGGAGUUGUUGGUGUGGGUUGCGUUGUCGCGGUACCGAUAUUGGCACUACAUUUAAAUUUUUUUACGGCGAUCGCGACUGGCAUUUUGGCGCCAGUUAUUAUAUUUUAAGUUACGAAGCCGUCUUUAUUGAACCAAAGUAAAACUUAGACUAAUUUUACAAUAUUAACUUCUUAACAUUAAACUUCUGCAUCACGUUGCGGGCACAGGUGACUUAUUGCUGAAUUGGCCGAAUGGAUGCGCGUGUACUGGCUAUUGUUACGUUGAUCCGGCCAGGCAGACAUGGCAUCAGCGUUUUAUACGUAUUGUUGUUGUUGGUGCGCUUCAGUAUCGUGGGAAACGUAUAGUUCAAGCUUUUGAGUGUUAACAACGUUAACUUACAUAAUUACGCUAACAAAAAAGUGUGUUUGUGUUCCCUUUUUGACUGUGUGCCGGAGACAAUAUACAUAUAUAUAUGGAGAAAAUUUAUACAGUUGGAAAGGAGAAGAAGUACGUUUCAUCGCUAUUCUGUAUAAGUUGCAAAUACAUAUGUACAUAUAUGGUGCACAAUGCGAAUUGUGACCUCAUUAUUGAAUAAUAACUGCGAUCAAUCAAAGGAUCAACGUGAUAAAUUGCGUCAAAAUGUUAAUUUGGAAAAAACGUUCUUCAGGAGAAGGUGUUGCUCUACGAAAUUCUGGAUUCCUAUGCCAUUACUUUCCGAUAUCACCUGAAGAACAAAUGUACGCAGCAGAAGACAAAAUAAUUUCUUUGUUGAAAAGAUUUCAAAAUGGAGCAUCAGUUCAAAACUUCAUCGAUAUUUCAUUCAAGCAAUUCAUCAAUAUUUUAUACUAAUUAUUUGGACAUCGUUUCGCAGGUGCAUACGUGGCCACAUGUGAUGGCAAAUUCAAAAUGGUCGAUUUAGUUCGAUUGUUCAUUCAAGAAUUAAUCAAGCCAAAACGAGAAACAGUACAAAUUAUGAUGCACGAGAAAGAAUUAUAAUUUAAAAUUUUUUUUUUUUAAAUUAAUUUUUGUAAAUUGGUUUCUACAACUUUCUUUAAAUGUUGUUCACAUUUUGUUCAAAUAAGAAAUAAAAUUCAAUUACUAUUAGCAUUGUUAAUAAAUUGUAUUUUCUAUUUGUCGAAUUUCGAACACUGGCGACCCUAGUUAUUAAUUAAGCUGCGGUAAAAAAAAAAAGAUUUCUG